GUUCAUUAUACGCACGAAUUGCCACUGCACGUUACCUAUCUCUUUCUUCUCCCCUCGGUUGUCCCCCAUGAAAACACAACCUUCAAAUCGCUAGGGUUCACCAUUCCUCGUCGUCGCCGCCACCCGUCCCAACCUCGGCCAUUGGCGGCUCGACCGUCGCCGGCCGGCAAAUCAGAGGCGAUGCGGCCGUAAUCUCCCUUUCCUGGAGCCCAAAGGCGCAGCCGCCGCAUCUGCUGCAUCCUCCACCGACCACUCCCAUCAUCGGACCGCCUCCACCCGCCCCAACCCCGGCCACCGUCCACUCGGAUCUCAGCCGUUGCUAUAUAUGAUGUUUGUUCCUUUCACGGAUGCAAUUGGUCAUAGGGCAACCAAAUACUUGACAUGAUUCAUAUUGAGGAAAGGAAGAAGUAGUUUCUCCUCAUGUCUACUGUCAUGUGUUAGCAUCCUUAUUUAUGACCUUGUUUGAAUUUGUGUGCAAUGCAAUGAUAAAACUUGUGGCAUGGUUGUUUAUUCUGUGAUGGCAGCAAUAGAGUAUGAUUGUAUUUCACCAUGACCAUAUAUUUUCCAAUCAAAGGAUGGUCUCAUGUAAUAUAUAAUUAAUAACAUAUGUUAUAAUGAGUUCAAAAGUAUUGUCAUGUGCGUAGAAUGUAAAUUUAUUGAUAUACAUUGUAUAUGCCAUCAUGCCAUCAAACUGGUAUGAUUUCAGUUCAAAUCUGUGAAAACUAGCCAUCUGUGACAAAAACAGCUAUUAAUUGGGUUUUUACUGUUAAAACAGUAUAAUCGGCACUUAAACCUAUUCUACAGAACAACAUAGGGCGUUCUCAUCAUUUCAGCAUGUUCCAGCAACAGCUACAAGUGCUACAUCACAACCACCCAACGACUGCACCUCAGCUCCUACCUUCCAGCUACAGCUACUCCUUCCAGUCGGAGCCCUUGCAGCUGCAGUCGAAGAAGCUGGAGCCCAAACAAACACACCAUAAGAAUGGCGUGACCCUUUUUCUGAAUUUGAUGAGUGCAUGCAGCCUUCUGAACUUGGAUUUGACAAGUUACAUUUAUGGGUUGGGGUCAUGAAUCUUCCCUUUUAAUCUUCAUCAUGAUAAUUAAGCAGAGCGCGGCGAUUGCCAUAGAUAGACAAGGGAGCUACGGUUGUCAAGUUUGAUCAUGUGACGAGCAAUCUUAGGGCUAGAGUUACAGUGGAGGUUAACAAGCCAUCGAGGAGAUGGAUCAUAACUGAGUCGAAUAGGAGAAGCUGCAUGGAUUUAUAUGAUAUCUUAUACAAGAAUGUGCCACACCUUUUCUUGUGGCCGGUUGGGUCACUCGGAUCUCUAUUGUAUGAUGCCGGGAAUCGGGGAUGAAAAUGGUGAUCUUCCUUGCGAGAGGGGUUACAUGCUCCGGGUGAUAGGAGGAGGACUGCUUCAGGGGAAGGCUUGAC